AGUGAACGCUGGCGGUAGGCCUAACACAUGCAAGUCGAACGGCAGCACAGUAAGAGCUUGCUCUUACGGGUGGCGAGUGGCGGACGGGUGAGGAAUACAUCGGAAUCUACUUUUUCGUGGGGGAUAACGUAGGGAAACUUACGAUAAUACCGCAUACGACCUACGGGUGAAAGCAGGGGAUCUUCGGACCUUGCGCGAUUGAAUGAGCCGAUGUCGGAUUAGCUAGUUGGCGGGGUAAAGGCCCACCAAGGCGAGGAUCCGUAGCUGGUCUGAGAGGAUGAUCAGCCACACUGGAACUGAGACACGGUCCAGACUCCUACGGGAGGCAGCAGUGGGGAAUAUUGGACAAUGGGCGCAAGCCUGAUCCAGCCAUACCGCGUGGGUGAAGAAGGCCUUCGGGUUGUAAAGCCCUUUUGUUGGGAAAGAAAAGCAGCAGGUUAAUACCCCGCUGUUCUGACGGUACCCAAAGAAUAAGCACCGGCUAACUUCGUG
rnacentral:rRNA from 1 species